AUGUCACCAAAGCAUGGCCCGACGAGCAAACCAGCAGCGCCAAAGUGGAUUCCCCCAGUUCCUGGAAACAUCAAACUCAAUGUGGAUGCAGCAGUGGCCAAAUCCACCAGUAGAGGAGCUGUGGGGGUGGUAUGCCGAGAUGAGCAAGGAAGCUUUAGAGGGGCUUCCGCUGUUGUUUUUGAGGGGCUGACGGAGCCUGAAACUUUAGAAGCUUUGGCUUGUAGGGAGGCCUUGGCUUUGGGACAUGAUCUUCACUUAGGAAAGCUUCAAGUAGCAACUGACUGUCUGAGAGUCAUCAAGGAGAUAGAGUUUGAUAAGAACUAUGGUGGUCAUUGCAUGAUAAUUAGAGGGAUUAGAUCUUUAAGUUCUUCUUUUUUGGCUUGUACUUUUAGCCAUGAGCGGCGUAGCAGCAACGGUGAGGCUGAUAGAUUAGCUAAGAUGGCAUCUUCUCUCAGUCUGGUACGCCAUGUGUGGCUGGUGGAGCCUCCUGAACAUUUAUGUAUUCCCUCGAACAUUGAGAUGUAA
rnacentral:rRNA from 1 species